UAUUGGGAGUUUGAUCCUGGCUCAGGACGAACGCUGGCGGCGUGCUUAACACAUGCAAGUGGUGCGACGAACCAGGGCUUGCCCUGGGGCAAAGCCGCGAACGGGUGAGUAACACGUGGGUAAUCUGCCCCGAUGACCGGGACAACCCGAGGAAACUCGGGCUAAUACCGGAUGUGGUGUCCAGGCUUAAGCCUGUUCACUAAAGGAAGCUUCGGCCUCCGCAUUGGGAGGAGCCCGCGGCCCAUUAGCUUGUUGGUGGGGUAACGGCCUACCAAGGCGACGAUGGGUAGCUGGUCUGAGAGGACGAUCAGCCACACUGGGACUGAGACACGGCCCAGACUCCUACGGGAGGCAGCAGUGGGGAAUCUUGCGCAAUGCGCGAAAGCGUGACGCAGCAACGCCGCGUGGGGGAAGACGGCCUUCGGGUUGUAAACCCCUUUCAGGAGGGACGAAGGCUCACCGGUGAAUAGCCGUGUGAGUUGACGGUACCUCCACAAGAAGCUCCGGCUAACUACGUGCCAGCAGCCGCGGUAAUACGUAGGGAGCAAGCGUUGUCCGGAAUCAUUGGGCGUAAAGCGCGCGUAGGUGGCCUCAUAAGUCCGCUGUGAAAGCCAAAGGCUCAACCUUUGAAAGCCGGUGGAUACUGUGAGGCUAGAGUACGGAAGAGGCGAGUGGAAUUCCUGGUGUAGCGGUGGAAUGCGCAGAUAUCAGGAGGAACACCAAUAGCGAAGGCAGCUCGCUGGGACGUUACUGACACUGAGGCGCGAAAGCGUGGGGAGCGAACAGGAUUAGAUACCCUGGUAGUCCACGCCGUAAACGAUGGGUACUAGGUGGUGGGAGGUGUCGACUCCUCCCGUGCCGUCGCUAACGCACUAAGUACCCCGCCUGGGGGAGUACGGCCGCAAGGCUAAAACUCAAAGGAAUUGACGGGGGCCCGCACAAGCAGCGGAAGCAUGUGGUUUAAUUCGACGCAACGCGAAGAACCUUACCUGGGGCUUGACAUGUUGGGUGACCGCCCGUGGAAACACCGGUUUUCCUUCCGGGACACCAUCCACAGGUGGGGGCAUGGGUUGUCCUCCAGCUCCUGGUCCUGGAAAAUGUUGGGGUUAAGUCCCCGCAACCAAGCGCAACCCCCCCGUUCCAUGGUUGCCCCCCAUUUAAAUUUGGGGGAAUCAUGGGGGAAACAUCCGGGUGAACACCCCCGGAGGAAGAAGUGGGGGGAAAAUACUUCCAGUCUUCAUUGCGCUCCUAUAUUUCCCGGGGGGGUACACACCGGUUUUCAUAUUGGGGCCCACACAAAAGGGGGGCGCAUAAUACUCCCGCGGGGGGGGGAGGAAAAAUCCC
rnacentral:rRNA from 1 species